rnacentral:rRNA from 1 species
GUAAUAGUUAUGUUCUUGAAACCCAAAGAAUUUGGCGGUAUUUUAGUCCUUUCAGAGGAACCUGUCCCGUAAUUGACAAUCCACGAUAUUAUUUACUUAUUUUUGUUUUCAGUUUGUAUACCUCCGUUAUAAGAGAAUCUUUUUAGAGUUAUAAAUUUUCUUAAUAUAUUAAGUAUAUUAUAUCAGGUCAAGGUGCAAUUUAUAAAUAAGUGGAGAUGGGUUACAAUAAAUUUAUUUAAACGGAGUAAAUUGAUUAAUAUUUUUACGAAGGUGGAUUUGAUAGUAAUUUUAAUUAUUAAUUAUUAUGAUUUUGGCUCUAAAAUAUGUACACAUCGCCCG